AAUGGCCUCACUGGAUGCCCUUCUGCAUCAUCUAACUACAUGUGACCAUGAAGAAAGGUCCCUUCUACUCAUAAGCCCACACUGAUGUACUACAAUCACUGGAGGCUAAGCCUAUGUGUUAAGGACACGGUGGUGGCACUGGCUGGAUCCUUGUGAGGAUUGCAUGACACCUCAAUGGUGGGAGCAGAUAGCAAGGAGGAGAAAUGAUGAGGUAAGGCUGGAAGCUGGAUGUGAGCCGGUGAGACCGGAAGCUGGAUAUGAGAUGGUGAGACCGGAAGCUGCAUGCGGUCAGGUAGGGGAGCAGGAUUGCCCUCUAUUGUGGUAAGAGCCACUUACGGUCCCCUCCCCCCACCAGUGCUACUUCCCAUUGUAUUCCAUGUCCUACACAUGAUCUUUGACAAGAUCCUAGGGCUUGUCAAACCACCAGUACCCAACAUAUGAGCCCUUGGGGAGGAUGCUCAGAUCCUAUCCAAACCACGGCCCGUGCUCUCCACUUGCAUCUCGCUCUUGGAACAGCAGCCCUUCUCUUCAGCCCCUUCAGCCAUCUCAUUCCUUCAAU
rnacentral:lncRNA from 1 species